rnacentral:rRNA from 1 species
GACGAACGCUGGCGGCGUGCUUAACACAUGCAAGUCGAACGGAAAGGCCCUGCUUUUGUGGGGUGCUCGAGUGGCGAACGUGUGAGUAACACGUGAGUAACCUGCCCUUGACUUUGGGAUAACUUCAGGAAACUGGGGCUAAUACCGGAUAGGAGCUCCUGCUGCAUGGUGGUGGUUGGAAAGUUUCGGCGGUUGGGGAUGGACUCGCGGCUUAUCAGCUUGUUGGUGGGGUAGUUGCUUACCAAGGCUUUGACGGGUAGCCGGCCUGAGAGGGUGACCAGGCACAUUGGGACUGAGAUACGGCCCAGAGUCCUACGGGAGGCAGCAGUGGGGAAUAUGGCACAAUGGGCGGAAGCCUGAUGAAGCAACGCCGCGUGCGGGAUGACGGCCUUCGGGUUGUAAACCGCUUUAGCCUGUGACGAAGCGUGAGUGACGGUAAUGGGUAAAGAAGCACCGGCUAACUACGUG